UACGUAGGGUGCAAGCAUUGUCCGGAUUUAUUGGGCGUAAAGAGCUCGUAGGCGGCUUGUCACGUCGGGUGUGAAAACUCGGGGCUCAACCCCGAGCCUGCACUCGAUACGGGCUAGCUAGAGUGUUGCAGGGGAGACUGGAAUUCCUGGUGUAGCGGUGAAAUGCGCAGAUAUCAGGAGGAACACCGGUGCGAAGGCGGGUCUCUGGGCCGUUACUGGACGCUGGAGGAGCGAAAGCGUGGGGAGCGAACAGG
rnacentral:rRNA from 1 species